rnacentral:rRNA from 1 species
CCUACGGGCGGCAGCAGUAGGGAAUAUUGCUCAAUGGGGGAAACCCUGAAGCAGCAACGCCGCGUGGAGGAUGAAGGUUUUCGGAUUGUAAAAUCCUUUUGUCAGAGAAGAAAAUGACGGUAUCUAACGAAUAAGCACCGGCUAACUCCGUGCCAGAAGCCGCGGUAAUACGGAGGGUGCAAGCGUUACUCGGAAUCAAUGGGCGUAAAGAGCGCGUAGGCGGGAUAGCAAGUCAGAUGUGAAAUCCUAUGGCUUAACCAUAGAACUGCAUUUGAAACUGUUAUUCUAGAGUAUGCGAGAGGUAGGUGGAAUUCUUGGUGUAGGGGUAAAAUGCGUAGAGAUCAAGAGGAAUACUCAUUGCGAAGGCGACCUGCUAGAACAUAACUGACGCUGAUGCGCGAAAGCGUGGGGAGCAAACAGGAUUAGAUACCCGUGUAGUC